GAGGGUUUCCGCCCUUUAGUGCUGAAGUUAACGCAUUAAGCAUUCCGCCUGGGGAGUACGGCCGCAAGGUGAAACUCAAAGGAAUUGACGGGGGCCCGCACAAGCGGUGGAGCAUGUGGUUUAAUUUGAAGCAACGCGAAGAACCUUACCAGGUCUUUGACAUCCUCUGAAAACCCUAGAGAUAGGGCUUCUCCUUCGGGAGCAGAGUGACAGGUGGUGCAUGGUUGUCGUCAGCUCGUGUCGUGAGAUGUUGGGUUAAGUCCCGCAACGAGCGCAACCCUUGAUCUUAGUUGCCAUCAUUAAGUUGGGCACUCUAAGGUGACUGCCGGUGACAAACCGGAGGAAGGUGGGGAUGACGUCAAAUCAUCAUGCCCCUUAUGACCUGGGCUACACACGUGCUACAAUGGACGGUACAAAGAGCUGCAAGACCGCGAGGUGGAGCUAAUCUCAUAAAACCGUUCUCAGUUCGGAUUGUAGGCUGCAACUCGCCUACAUGAAGCUGGAAUCGCUAGUAAUCGCGGAUCAGCAUGCCGCGGUGAAUACGUUCCCGGGCCUUGUACACACCGCCCGUCACACCACGAGAGUUUGUAACACCCGAAGUCGGUGGGGUAACCUUUUUGGAGCCAGCCGCCUAAGGUGGGACAGAUGAUUGGGGUGA
rnacentral:rRNA from 1 species